rnacentral:pre_miRNA from 1 species
UAUGAGUAUUUAUAUGAGUAUUUAUAUCUAAUAUUGAUCGUCCAUAUUAUUUAUUUUUUUAUGAUGAAUAUUUUUAUUGUUUUUAAAAGAUAAAACAUGAAUAGUGCUUUAUGCAUGACUUUUUUUAUUCUUUUAUAAAUUUUUCAAAUAAGACGGAUGAUCAAACACUGGACACAUAAACAUACAACUAUGGGCUUCAG